UACGUAGGGGGCAAGCGUUGUCCGGAUUUAUUGGGCGUAAGGAGCGUGUAGGCGGUUUGGUAGGUCCGCUGUGAAAACUCGAGGCUCAACCUCGAGACGCCGGUGGAAACCAUCAGACUAGAGUCCGGAAGAGGAGAGUGGAAUUCCUGGUGUAACGGUGAAAUGCGCAGAUAUCAGGAAGAACACCCGUGGCUAAGGCGGCUCUCUAGUACGGUACUGACGCUGAGACGCGAAAGCGUGGGGAGCGAACAGG
rnacentral:rRNA from 1 species